CACGUAGGCACCAAGCGUUGUCCGGAUUUAUUGGGUUUAAAGGGUGCGUAGGCGGUCUAUUAAGUCAGUGCUGAAAUAUCCCGGCUUAACCGGGAGGGUGGCAUUGAUACUGAUGGACUUGAGUAAAGUUGAGGUAGGCGGAAUUGACGGUGUAGCGGUGAAAUGCUUAGAUAUCGUCAAGAACACCGAUAGUGUAGACAGCUUACUAAGCUUUAACUGACGCUGAGGCACGAAAGUGUGGGGAUCAAACAGG
rnacentral:rRNA from 1 species